ensembl:miRNA
UGCUUUGUGAAACUGAAAGAACAGGAUUGCUGGGAGAUUUUCAUUCUUCCUGUUCUUACUACAGUAGAUAAAAGCA